rnacentral:rRNA from 1 species
CCUACGGGAGGCAGCAGUGAGGAAUAUUGGUCAAUGGACGAGAGUCUGAACCAGCCAAGUAGCGUGAAGGAUGACUGCCCUAUGGGUUGUAAACUUCUUUUAUAUGGGAAUAAAACGUUCCACGUGUGGGAUUUUGUAUGUACCAUAUGAAUAAGGAUCGGCUAACUCCGUGCCAGCAGCCGCGGUAAUACGGAGGAUCCGAGCGUUAUCCGGAUUUAUUGGGUUUAAAGGGAGCGUAGGUGGAUUGUUAAGUCAGUUGUGAAAGUUUGCGGCUCAACCGUAAAAGUGCAGUUGAAACUGGCAGUCUUGAGUACAGUAGAGGUGGGCGGAAUUCGUGGUGUAGCGGUGAAAUGCUUAGAUAUCACGAAGAACUCCGAUUGCGAAGGCAGUUCACUGGACUGCAACUGACACUGAGGCUCGAAAGUGUGGGUAUCAAACAGGAUUAGAUACCCGUGUAGUC